rnacentral:rRNA from 1 species
GACGAACGCUGGCGGCGUGCUUAACACAUGCAAGUCGAACGGAAAGGCCCUUCGGGGUCCUCGAGUGGCGAACGGGUGAGUAACACGUGGGUGAUCUGCCCUGCACUUUGGGAUAAGCCUGGGAAACUGGGUCUAAUACCGAAUAGGACCACGCGCUUCAUGGUGUGUGGUGGAAAGCUUUUGCGGUGUGGGAUGGGCCCGCGGCCUAUCAGCUUGUUGGUGGGGUAAUGGCCUACCAAGGCGACGACGGGUAGCCGGCCUGAGAGGGUGACCGGCCACACUGGGACUGAGAUACGGCCCAGACUCCUACGGGAGGCAGCAGUGGGGAAUAUUGCACAAUGGGCGCAAGCCUGAUGCAGCGACGCCGCGUGAGGGAUGACGGCCUUCGGGUUGUAAACCUCUUUCAAUAGGGACGAAGCGCAAGUGAUGGUACCUAUAGAAGAAGCACCGGCCAACUACGUG